UGGCUCAGAUUGAACGCUGGCGGCAGGCCUAACACAUGCAAGUCGAGCGGAUGAGAAGAGCUUGCUCUUCGAUUCAGCGGCGGACGGGUGAGUAAUGCCUAGGAAUCUGCCUGGUAGUGGGGGACAACGUUUCGAAAGGAACGCUAAUACCGCAUACGUCCUACGGGAGAAAGCAGGGGACCUUCGGGCCUUGCGCUAUCAGAUGAGCCUAGGUCGGAUUAGCUAGUUGGUGAGGUAAUGGCUCACCAAGGCGACGAUCCGUAACUGGUCUGAGAGGAUGAUCAGUCACACUGGAACUGAGACACGGUCCAGACUCCUACGGGAGGCAGCAGUGGGGAAUAUUGGACAAUGGGCGAAAGCCUGAUCCAGCCAUGCCGCGUGUGUGAAGAAGGUCUUCGGAUUGUAAAGCACUUUAAGUUGGAGGAAGGGCAGUAAGCGAAUACCUUGCUGUUUUGACGUUACCGACAGAAUAAGCACCGGCUAACUCUGUGCCAGCAG
rnacentral:rRNA from 1 species